AAUUUGGCAGAGGAAUCAUCAAGCUAUUGUCUGAUGUAGGUGAUGAUUUGAAAGAAACAGUAGGAAGAUUUACAUACCUGGGUAAUGAAGUUGAAUAGCAUUUCUUUUAACUUUUAAAUUACAUUAAAAUUGAUCAGUGCUGAUACUCUUUUUUUAUGGGUGUUAUACUGAAGUGCUGUUAUGCUUUGCUUACAAAGGAUCGUCUGGGUAGGAUGAAAUAACCUCAUAAAUAAAUAACCUCAUAAAUAAAUAAAUAAAUAACCUCAUAAAAUUCCUUUAUCUGUUUUCAUGUACAUAAUAAAAAUCACCCAGCUAUUUAUUUAAACUAACCACAUAGCUCCCAAAUUUCAUUUUUCUGAUGUAUAAAAUAAGCUUGUAUAAGGUUUGGGAUGUUUUGAACUAUGCAUAUAUGCUGUAGAUAUAAAUAUAAUUUCUUAGAAUGUUGCAAUAUUUUUCUUUCUCUGAGUUUUCGUGGAGAAGGGUAUCUUGUGGCACUUGUUAAUAUUACUUGUUUAACUGCGUAUACAGCACCUUGAGGCAAGUGGAUAAAUCUAAUUUGUACAUUAUGAGUAAUGCUUUAAGUUCUACAGAUAUACAUGCAGUUACAAUAGUUUGUGUUCUAAACAGACAAGUACUAUGUCUUCAUGUGAAAGGAUGUUCUUGUAGUGGAGAAUGAUGGUCUUACAUUUAAGAUACUUGACAAGGGUUCAGGAGAUCUAGGUUCACUUCAUGGCUCUGCCAAAGACUUUCUGCAUAUUCUUGGGCAAGUUACUUAAUUUUUCUAUGCUUCAGUUCCCUGUCCAGGCAGGGUAAUAAUAUUUCCCUACUUUAUAUUAAUGAGUAUUAAAUGUUCAAAUACUUCAGUGAUGGGUGUUGUACAAAUAGCUAUAUAGGCAGCAUAUAGACCAUAAUUAGAUUUGGUCUAAUUAAAAACAUAUUAUUUGACACAUUUCGAACUUUAUAUUAUUCAUAAAUAAUUCACAAACCAAUCCUAACAUUACACAAACAAAUUUCAGCUAAAAUGAGGUUUCUUUUCUUUUUCUUUUCCUAAAAUGAGGUUGCCUUUCUUAAACCUGUUGAAGUGCAAGUUUCUAGUGCCCCCAGACUUUGGAACAAAGACUUGAAAUCUGCCUGUGGAUUGCUUUGAUGUAGGAAUUUGCCUUUUGCUGUUCCCAUAAAAAUCAACCCAAAUUUGGCCAAGUUAUAAUCAGUGUGCUUUGAUGGAUUUAAAUCACUGGUUUUAAUCUUGAUUUAUAUCAGCAAACAGGAAUGUUUUAUUUAAAUAAUCAAUUUUAAUCUUGAUUUGCAUUUGUACUUCUUAGCUAUUUUUGUAAAGAAAGGUUGAUUCGUAUGGGUUGGUAACCAUUAAAACAUGUUGAUUUGCAACUAAAUACAGGCUUUACACUAAAUUUUGGUACUAUAUCUGUACGCAUUUCUUUAAGCUAUUAUGUGGCUUAACUUACAUUUAUUCAGAUUCUUAAUAUUUAGGUUUUUUGUUAUGAUAGAAGAUGGUGAAUGAUGCAUUUGUGAUCUACUAGAUUAAUUUUUUACUCAUGAUUUGUGUCAAGCUCUGUUUGGAUGGAAAUUGGAAUUAAAUUAAAAAUGCAAAAAAAACCCCAUUUAUAUUUUUUCAUUAAAUAAAACUACCUUAAAUGUUUAUAAGUUUAUAAAAACAUGUUUUACAUGUAAAACUGAUUAUUUAAAAAAAAAAGUAUUAUAUACUGGCCAUGAACCAAGCUCUUAGAUGCUACGAUAAUAAUAAUAAUAAUCUGUGGUUAUAGAAUUAACCUAAUAGUUUCUGGUCACCACGUUAUUCAAGAUUUAGAACUAGUAGAUCUCCUCCUUUCUCACUUUGUUUUUAUUCAGAGACUGGAAAGGGAAACCCAGGUUUUCUCUUUUUUUUCCCCAACUCCCAAUCAGUUUCUUAACUUUGAGUUAACUUGUCAUUGAACUGACCUAGCUGAAUAAAUUGAAACAAAGAAAAUAUUCUCUCUGUACCUUUUGAAAAAGCAGCUGUAGUCAAAAGUUGGUUUAGCACUUCAACAGCUCUGGUUCCAGGUGCUUAGCCAGUGGCUUCCGCCAGUUGAAUGGUUUGAAUUUCAUUAAAACUUUUGCAGCAGACAUGUAUUGGUUAAUGUUAUUUUUAAUUUAAUUUAAAGUAUUGUAAUAUAGUAUAGUAAAUGUAGGCCUUAAAAUUUGUCCUAAUUUUAAAUAGAUUUAUUUUAAAAAAGAAAAUGUAUUUAAAUAAAAAAAAUCCAAUUUAAAAAACUCUGAUUUUUUUAAAAAAUAAUUGAUUUUUAUUCACCUGGUUAAUAAUACAAAACUAGGGAGGUAGUAAUUCUCUUUUGUGUCACCCUGAUGGAACCACACAUGAAAUACUGGAUGCGGUUCUGGGCUUCACAAUUUAGGGAUGGUAUAAAAAGACUAGAGAUGAUACAAAGCUGGUAACAGGUAAUGAAUGAAGACGAAGAGAUAUGGCAUGAAGAGAAACAGAAGUAACCAUGUUAAAGAGAAGACCCAGAGGAUUUAUGAUCACAGAGUAUACAUACUUUCAAGGGAAUGGUAUAAUGAAGAAAGGAAAUUAUUCACACUCUUGGAAGAUGGAAGGACAAGGUGCAAUGACGUGAAGCUAAAGAAGGAAAAUGAUAGUCAUUAGGAAAGGGUUCUUAACUAUCAGAGCAAUUGGGCAGUGAAAUAGACAGUUGAGUAACCAUCACUGCAGAUAUGAUGUUAAUGAGAAUAAUAUAGUUGAGUAUUCUUGCAAAGUGCAGUUGGUCAGGCUAGAUGGUCUGUGUGGCCUUUUCCAUCUGUCUAUGAUUUUGUGAACUUACAAAUGUCACUCCCCAGCCCAGGCUCAGUACAUCAUCCUCAUCACCUCUCAUAUGCUCCCUCAACUACCAUUCAUCUUUUUGUAACAGAAAAUCAUCUUGGAAUCACUCCUGCUCUCAGGAGCAGAAUUCCCAGUGACUUCAGCUGGAGGAUCAAGCCCUUUGCAUUUUCCAUUUACAUACAUUUUUCUUUGUUUUAGAUAGAUAAUUUGCCCAGUAGUAAUCAGAAAUGACUUCAUGAUAACAGGUUUCAGAGUAGCAGCCGUGUUAGUCUGUAUCCGCAAAAAGAACAGGAGGACUUGAGGCACCUUAGAGACUAACAAAUUUAUUUGAGCAUAAGCUUUCGUGGGCUAUCGGAUGAAGUGGGCUGUAGCCCACGAAACCUUAUGCUCAAAUAAAUUUGUUAGUCUCUAAGGUGCCACAAGUACUCCUGUUCUUUUUUCAUAAUAACAGUUAUUCUGUCCUCUGGAUUUUCCAGUAUGUCCUGUCUUCUCUCUCUCUCUGCCUUUUGGUAAGAUCUCUGGGGGCAGGGACCAUCUUUAUCUCUCUGUCUUGUGCAGCACCAGGUGCAUUGUUAGUGCUUAUCUAAUAACUCUAAUAGAAGUCGGGGGUGAGGGUUGCCAAAGAAUGCUCAAUAUCCUUUCACUCGGAGAUACAUAAAAAUUGGAACUUGUUACAUUAUUCCACUGAUAGGUGUCUGAAAUGCAGCUUUAUGCAAUAAAAUAGAUUAUAUAUAGAGAAGGUAUUAAAGAUGUAGCAAACUAAUAUUUAAUUUGGGCACUGCAUAUGUUACUCUAACAGAGGAUUUCUGUAUGAUUUUUAAUUUUAUAUAGUUUAAAGAUUCCAAAGUAAUGUUAAUGAGAAGGCCAAACUGCUCAGCACAUCUUGGGACAGAGAUAAGAUUUUGCAAAAACAACUGUUUCUCGGAACAGCACACAGAGACUCCCACCCUUCUCACAUUCUUUAUCUUCCUUGUUAUGUAAUAUGUUAAGGGGGUUAAGCAAUUUCGUUACACCCUAUAAGAGUUGUUAAAGUCAGAGGAGAUAUAUGUUGAAAUAAAGUUCGAAAAUGCAUGUGAAUGGAUGUGGUGUGUAAAUAGAAGAUGAACGGUUAGGAGUGCCAGCCUAAGAGUUACCACUUCAGUAUCGACUGGCCGAAGAAUGUGCUAAGUGGAGAUAACCGGAUGACCCCCGGAGGGCAGACUGGAAUCCACCCAACAGCCUCAAGGAUGGGAGAACUGAAGAACAAUAUAACAUCUGGCAGCAUGGAGCCGUCAGGGAGGUGCCAUCUGCUGAUUGAUUCAGCAACAGCAUGAUAAAGCCACCUCCAUAGACUGGCAUAGGAAUAAAACUCCUAUAAAAACAGACCCUAAAGACUAAGGACUUUGAGUCUGGUUCUACAACCACCCUCCAGGAGCAUCAGAUGCGCAUCUGACAAAGACUCUGCUGCACCCUCAUGUCCAGGUUACCUGGCCAGUAACUUGGCAUGAGCAACCGCUAGGCGGAUCCACUAUCUUCACCAUGUCUCAAAGAUCCAGAAGCUGUUAAAGCAGUUGACACUAAAAGAGGGUUGCAAACUUUUACAUAUUUGCCACGGUCAUGCUGCGGUUCCAUCAGUAUGAUGGGAGGCUACUAAUGGACUCAGCCUCAGAAUCUAUCCCCUGCACCUGCCUAACAGUAGAGAGUUGUGAAAGCCCCUGAAGAGAAGGGAGAGGGAGAGUGUAACCAUCCAGGAGAGAAAUUCAGAGCUCUCAUUGCAAUUAUGCCUUCCUACAACAAUGUCACCUGGGAUGCUGCUGGAAAUUGAAAAUGCUCUAACGGCCAGGCGCUCUUCAAUUAAAACUCUUACUAUUUCUAAUUAGCUCCCUGCCAUGUUUUCAUUGUAACACUGAGAAGUUUUAUAGGUGGAAUGGAUGGGGAGUUGUCAUCAUUACAAGAAUGGCAUUGCAUUUAGAAAUUCCAUUAUUACAGUGGCAAAAAUGAAAAAUUAAUAGAAAAAAGAACUAAACUGGUAUAUUUUUAGCUGGUGAAACUUUCUGGUUCUCUUAUAUUACCUCAGCACCAUGGUAUGAUAUUUGGGUUGCAAACGAUGCAGGAGAACUUUAAACCCUUGGUCCCUCCACCCACCCCGGCAAACAACCAGCCAAACCAACCAAGUCCAAAAACUCUUUUCAGUAGGCCAGAUCCUUAUAUAAAUGCAAAUGAAUAACAGUAUUACAACAUGUGCAUCCUGGGGAUGAGUGCGUGGCUGUGCAGACAGUGUAGACAGGUGAGCUUCCUCAACCAUGGGAUGCUCUUCUGGGAAGGAGGACAGCUCAGAAGAGAUGGUAUCCACCUCACCACAAAAGAGAAGAGCAUCUUCACAUACCGACUCACCAACCUAUUGAGGAGUGUUUCAAACCAGGAUCAAAAGGGGCAGAUGACAAAAGUCCACAGUGCCGUUAAUGUGAUCCAUGGAAUAGCAUCAAUCACUGAUGAAACAGGAGCAUCGAAAUGACCAUCUUCGUGUGUUAUCACAAGCCUGCAAGAACCCAUGUCUUCUCCCAGUGAAGUGAAGUGUUCUGACUCAGUUUCCAACUGCACCAUAUUUGCCAGAUCCAACUCUCUACAGGUAUCCAAAACAUUCCAUCCGUUUUUGGCUGCAGCUUCCUGUGUCUUUGGAUGAAACUCUGAUCAUCUCUAUAGCAACCUGCAGGGAACUUAGAGUGAAGAGCACAGGCUGCAGAAGGUAAGAGUUUGGAAGAGGCACCAGGAAGUUAGUCAUUAUGUAUAUGGCUGGAAUGCUAGCCCUAGUUGCAGCAUCUUUGUAAAUAUUCUCUUAAUAAAAGAGCUAGUUUAGUUUUACCAGCAUGCAGUUCUCUUGUGUUAUUACCCAGCACAUGAUACAUGAAUCCUUCAUAUACUACAAAUGAGACAUUUUGAUAUGUGUCAUAAUUCUAAAAGGAAAUUUGCCUAAUCAUUAAAAUGAGAAUCCUCGGGGAUCUCACAGCUGCCUAAUUAAUAUCAAAGAUUUUUUUAAAAAUUCAGGUAUUUUAAAAAUAUUGCUUUUCAUUUCCUUAAGUUACACAGAUUUUUCUGAAACCAUCAAAGGCAAUUGUAAAAAAUCACUGUAGUUUUCCUUUAAAUAACUGCAAAUAUACCUCAUAAGUAAAAUUUACAGCAAGGCUUCAUUUAAGAUUUGAGUAUUAAAUAUGAAAUUGUUGCUGUCCACAAAGAUCAUAUAGCUAAAUAACUAUGGACACCUCUGAUGACCAAACUAAAAUUACACAGAGCAUGUUAUGUGCAUAUGUAAGUGUGAAAGUUAUUUGAUAGAUUUUAAAACUUUGAAGCAUUUUGUAGCCCUGUCACUCUCCCCCCAUUUUUUUCUUUUUAGCUAUUUCAUGCCAUUUUAAUUUGCUUGCUUUAUGCUCAGGACAUUGGAUUUUUAUACAUAUCAUACUCAUGUAUUAUAUUUUUUCUGUUAUAUAAUCAGUUUAAAAGCCACUACAAUAUGAAUAAAAAAUGAGAUUCCUACAGAUAUAUGUGUUUUGUAGAACUGGAUACAAUUUCUCCAAGUUAUAACUAAAAUCAGUGUAUUUUGCUAGCCCCCCGCCCCCAGGGCUUUCUUGUAGGUAAUAUAUUGAGAAUGAUUCCAAACACUGAAGUCUAUUAGUUAUCCUGCUGGAUGUCAUAAUACCAGAGAGAGAGAGCGUCUAUAAAGUAGAUAAACAAGCUUUCAAUGUACAUCAAAGUAAAACUGAGUUAGAAGAUACAGUAAAUAAAAAUCUCACCAGUCAGACCUGGUGGUAAACAAGAGACCUCUAGUACUAGACUUAAUUUUGUGCCAAGAUGUGUGUAUCCCUGAGGCCAAGUCUCUCUGCAUCAGAAUUCCAUAGUCUGGCUGCUUCGAUCCAUGAGUUAAAGCCAUGAAAGGAAUGGACAAGCCAAUUUAGAUCAAUGAACAAACCUUAAAUAUUCAUCCUGCCAAAUCCUGGAGCAAUUUAUGGGGGCAGAAGGACAGGAGAAAGGAGAGGCAGCAUUGUCUAUUAGUUAAAGUUGGGAGAUAGUGGUCAAGAUGCCUGGUUGGAGUCUAUACCGAGCUCAUCUGGACUAUGUCUCAGUUUACCCAUCAGUAAAAUGGCUAUUUUAUCUACCUUACAGGGAUGUGUUAAGGCUUCAUUUUUUAAUGUUUACGAAGUGCCUGAAUCCUGAUCACGCUGGGUGAAGAUAUCAAUACCGUACCUUUUGUCAAUGUGUUACUGCAUAAAAAAUAAUUGCAAUAUGUAAGGAGAAACCAAGUCUCUUGGUUCUUACCAGAGGAAAUAUUGAUAUUUUACCUCACACUUGUUCUUGGUGAGGCUGAGAGUCUUUGUUGUUAUUUCACUGCAGCUCAAAGUCUGGCCCAAGAAGACAGCUUGAGAAACUGGCUUGUGCUCUGGGGAGAUCUCUGGGGAAAGGAGCUAAGGAAUCAUUUCCCAAAGCCACGACUAUAGCCUGUAAUAGCCCCUGUGGCUGGAAUGUCCCCUCUGCAGGCAGAAAUGGCCAGUAAGGCCAUGUAGUCACACACCAACCAUGCUUACAUGCUUCAGCCUAUCCCACAAGCUUUCCUCUGUGCUGUAUGCAGGAAGUUCCUGAAAAAUUAUAUUAGAUAGACUCAUCUGCCGAGUGAUGAAUGUCAAACAAAUAUUUAUUAAG